GACGAACGCUGGCGGCGUGCUUAACACAUGCAAGUCGAACGGAAAGGCCCUGCUUUUGUGGGGUGCUCGAGUGGCGAACGGGUGAGUAACACGUGAGUAACCUGCCCUUGACUUUGGGAUAACUUCAGGAAACUGGGGCUAAUACCGGAUAGGAGCUCCUGCUGCAUGGUGGGGGUUGGAAAGUUUCGGCGGUUGGGGAUGGACUCGCGGCUUAUCAGCUUGUUGGUGGGGUAGUGGCUUACCAAGGCUUUGACGGGUAGCCGGCCUGAGAGGGUGACCGGGCCCAAUGGGGGUGGGGAACGGGCCCAGGCCCCACGGGGGGGCAGGGGGGGGGAAUAUUGCAAAAGGGGCGGAAGCCUGAGCCAGCAACGCCGGUGGGGGGAUGGCGGCCUUGGGGUUUUAAACCGCUUUCGCCUGGGACGAAGGGUGAGGGGGGGGAAUGGGUAAAGAAGCACCGGCUAACUACGG
rnacentral:rRNA from 1 species